CUCUCAAUAAGGGCUUAGCCUCUAUCUCUCUCUCGCGCUUUCUUUCUGUCCCUCCCCUCCUCCUACCUCCUGUCUUACCCCCCCCCCUCUCUCUUUCUCUCUCUAACAGCCUGUCAGUCAGCAGAAGCUGUAGGGUCUGUCAAGGUGUCCGCUGACGGCCCUGUGUCUGAGGCAGCUGCAGCCUCUGCAUCAAAAAGACAGCCGUGUGUGUGCCAAAGUUCUCUCCCGUGGAGACAAAACGAGGGCUGAUUGCCAGGGGCGCUGAAUAGAAGGAAGACCCAUUUACGCAGCGCAAACAGCAUCUAUAAUGGAUGUGGAAGGGAAGGGGAGAGAGAGAGAGAAAACGUCUUCAGAGCCAAGCAACGACCGGUGAGAGAGUUCCAUGGCAGAGGAGAAAGUUUUCUCUUGUGCUUUGUGAGGGUAUCUGAAACAACCAUUUGACACUAUCCGUGGAAGGUUGAACCCAGCCCUCCCCACUGACGCUGCCCUGCAUGGUGUAUCUGGGCAGAGACAGGGAAACGCUGACAUCCCCCAUUCAACCAACAUAAAUCACCCAGCAGUGACAUCAUCACAGUAAUACUGGCCCAAGGACCGACGUGCCAUGGUAAAGGACUAGGUACUAUUCUAGUGCCGCGCCUCAGUAGCCCCAUUAAUACUUGGUGCUAACAUGGGUUC
rnacentral:lncRNA from 13 species